rnacentral:rRNA from 1 species
GACGAACGCUGGCGGCGUGCUUAACACAUGCAAGUCGAACGGAAAGGCCCUGCUUUUGUGGGGUGCUCGAGUGGCGAACGGGUGAGUAACACGUGAGUAACCUGUCCUUGACUUUGGGAUAACUUCAGGAAACUGGGGCUAAUACCGGAUAGGAGCUCCUGCUGCAUGGUGGGGGUUGGAAAGUUUCGGCGGUUGGGGAUGGACUCGCGGCUUAUCAGCUUGUUGGUGGGGUAGUGGCUUACCAAGGCUUUGACGGGUAGCCUGCCUGAGAGGGUGACCGGCCACAUUGGGACGGAGAUGCGGCCCAGACUCCUACGGGAGGCAGCAGUGGGGAAUAGUGCACAAUGGGCGGAAGCCUGAUGCAGCAACGCCGCGUGCGGGAUGACGGCCUUCGGGUUGUAUUCCGCUUUCGCCUGUGACGAAGCGUGAGUGACGGUAAUGGGUAAAGAAGCACCGGCUAACUACGUG